UGGCUAGUUUCCAAAUGCUUUGCUGU
rnacentral:piRNA from 2 species